AUUGAACGCUGGCGGCAUGCCUAACACAUGCAAGUCGAGCGAGCGGCGGACGUGUGAGUACUGUAUGUGGCUCUGCCCGAUAGAGGGGGAUACCUACUGGAAACGGUGGCUAAUACCGCAUACUUUCGGAUUAACCCCUAUGGGAUUAGCUAGUAGGUGGGGUAAAGGCUCACCUAGGCGACGAUCUCUAGCUGGUCUGAGAGGAUGAUCAGCCACACUGGGACUGAGACACGGCCCAGACUCCUACGGGAGGCAGCAGUGGGGAAGAUUGGACAAUGGGGGCAAGCCUGAUGCAGCCAUGCCGCGUGUAUGAAGAAGGCCUUAGGGUUGUAAAGUACUUUCAGCGGGGAGGCGGUACCCGCAGAAGAAGCACCGGCUAACUCCGUGCCAGCCGCCGCGGUAAUUC
rnacentral:rRNA from 1 species